GGCGCUAUAGCCAAGUGGUGACGGCGACAGAUUAGAAUAGAUACGCUUGUGUAACAGUCUGGUCCUCCUUCGAGGGUGCAGGUUCGAAUCCUGCUGGCGUCG